GAUGAACGCUAGCGGCAGGCUUAACACAUGCAAGUCGCGGGGUAUAGGUUUUCGGACAUAGAGACCGGCGCACGGGUGCGUAACGCGUAUGCAAUCUACCUUUCACAGAGGGAUAGCCCCGACAAAGUUGGAUUAAUACCUCAUAGUAUAGCAGUUUCGCCUGAAACCACUAUUAAAGUAUCAACGGUGAAAGAUAAGCAUGCGUCACAUUAGCUAGAUGGUAAGGUAACGGCUUACCAUGGCUACGAUGGGUAGGGGUCCUGAGAGGGAGAUCCACCACACUGGGACUGGGACACGGACCAGACUCCUACGGGAGGCAGCAGUGAGGAAUAUUGGUCAAUGGACGCAAGUCUGAACCAGCCAUGCCGCGUGCAGGAUGACGGUCCUAUGGAUUGUAAACUGCUUAUGUACGAGAAGAAAAAACAUUACGUGUAAUGUCUUGACGGUAUCGUAAGAAUAAGGAUCGGCUAACUCCGUGCCAGCCGCCGCCGUAAAAC
rnacentral:rRNA from 1 species